CCUACGGGUGGCUGCAGUGGGGAAUAUUGCACAAUGGGCGCAAGCCUGAUGCAGCCAUGCCGCGUGUGUGAAGAAGGCCUUCGGGUUGUAUAGCACUUUCAGCGGGGAGGAAGGCGGUGAGGUUAAUAACCUCAUCGAUUGACGUUACCCGCAGAAGAAGCACCGGCUAACUCCGUGCCAGCAGCCGCGGUAAUACGGAGGGUGCAAGCGUUAAUCGGAAUUACUGGGCGUAAAGCGCACGCAGGCGGUCUGUCAAGUCGGAUGUGAAAUCCCCGGGCUCAACCUGGGAACUGCAUUCGAAACUGGCAGGCUAGAGUCUUGUAGAGGGGGGUAGAAUUCCAGGUGUAGCGGUGAAAUGCGUAGAGAUCUGGAGGAAUACCGGUGGCGAAGGCGGCCCCCUGGACAAAGACUGACGCUCAGGUGCGAAAGCGUGGGGAGCAAACAGGAUUAGAUACCCGGGUAGUC
rnacentral:rRNA from 1 species